GACGAACGCUGGCGGCGUGCUUAACACAUGCAAGUCGAACGGAAAGGCCCUGCUUUUGUGGGGUGCUCGAGUGGCGAACGGGUGAGUAACACGUGAGUAACCUGCCCUUGACUUUGGGAUAACUUCAGGAAACUGGGGCUAAUACCGGAUAGGAGCUCCUGCUGCAUGGUGGGGGUUGGAAAGUUUCGGCGGUUGGGGAUGGACUCGCGGCUUAUCAGCUUGUUGGUGGGGUAGUGGCUUACCAAGGCUUUGACGGGUAGCCGGCCUGAGAGGGUGACCGGCCACGUUGGGACUGAGAUACGGCCCAGACUCCUACGGGAGGCAGCAGUGGGGAAUAUUGCACAAUGGGCGGAAGCCUGAUGCAGCAACGCCGCGUGCGGGAUGACGGCCUUCGGGGUGUAAACCGCUUUCGCCUGUGACGAAGCGUGAGUGACGGUAAUGGGUAAAGAAGCACCGGCUAACUACGUG
rnacentral:rRNA from 1 species